AAAAAAAAAAAGAGUGUCCGCUCUGGCCUGUGGGGCCCACAUAAUGCUGGACGUAAAAGGGUCAGGCAGUCAUUUGGGGUGGAGGUUUCGUGGUAUUGCACCACGGGCUGUUGAGGCCUCUGUGUUUCUGUCCACUUAGUGGGGAGGGAGGUUAGCGGCCCAGACUCCAUCAGGCAACGACUCUUUCCACUUCUGUAGCAGGAGGAGAGACCUUUGAUGAGCAGGCCCAGGAGCUGGUGGCCAGAAAACACAGAGAGCUCGGACGGUCUUGGGAAGGAAGGCCAGGCAUUGGCAUCAUGGACCGAGCUAAGCAAGGCUCCUCAGCAGCCCUGCGUGGCCAGGACUCUGGUCACCUCUGCACGGGCACGCAGGCAAAGACCGGGAAUGGAACGCAAAUCACAGUGAAGACCCUAAUUGCAAACAGACUGGUGGAUGAAGAAACCUCCAAUUGUCUUUCUCCUGUAGCAGCAGAACUGCUGGCCAAGGGCAGGUCACGUCAGAAGAUUCAGGACUAUGGAUGAGGUCCACAGGCUCAGGUUUCAGGCAGUAGUUCUAACACACGGUUCACACUGCCUCAACUCAAGGAUCCAAGGACGCCUCAGUGCUGAAGAAAGAGUUGAAAAAGCGCAUUGCUCCAUCCCUCUUCUCCAGAAAACCUGAGCCUGUUUCCACAAGAGGGACCUUAGAACAUGUUCCUAUGUCAUUCAUUACUGCUUAUUUCGGCUCUUCGUUCGUGCUGUGCUUCUCGUUUCAAAAUUUUAGCACGUGCGCUGUGAAAGCAAGUGCCAUCUUAUGCUUAUGGAUGGCCCAUUUAGGGGUGAACAGUCACUCUUCGAGUUGAAUAGAAUGACAGUAUUUCAGUACUCACAUAGGAUGGAAGGAAGAGGUCUGAAUGAGUCACAUACUUAUGUUGAACACAACCGGUGAACAAAUACACUCUACUCAGUUCAUUAUUAUUCAACUGGUUUACUCUACCAGUCCAAUGGAAUGAAGUUAUGGGCAGUGGGAGAGAGCAAGUUCAUGUCUGGAUGCUUGUGCCCCAAUUAAUGUCUUCAUGUGUCCCCAGUAGACCAUACAGAUAAGACUUUGGCCAUCCUCUCUGUUGGGGCGGCUUGUAUCUCUCCUCUUAAAAAGUUCUUCGUGAAACAAAACUUAGGUUUUGAAGUUUGGAACGGGUAAUGGGGGAUUUUUGUUUGUUAAAGCUGACUUUAAAGAACCUAAAUUAAGACAGAGUACUUAAAAAAAAAAUAGGCCAAGGGAAUGCGGAAAACAAACACACUUGAAGGGAAAGCAUAGAUUUGCUAAAAUACUGACUUUCUUGCCCCAAAACAAAGAUGAUCCCAACAUUUCACUUCAUACACCAACGUCUUCUAUUUUGCGUUAGAUUUAAAUGAGCUGAACCCUCACAGUAAAACAUGUCACCAAGUUCUAAUCACGAGAAACAAAUUACUGAAAAAGUUUUUCUACUUUAUGGAAAAAUUUUAGAAAUUGUCUACUUAGUCAUAAAAAUGUUCUCAUAUCUCCUUUUAUCUUUUAAGUCAUCCAAGGGCCAGAUGUUGAGAAACUGGGGUGAAGGCUUUCCCUUUACUCCAAACAACUCGCAGCCUGUAAUGCAGCUUAAUUAAAUAAUUGCUUUGGGCUGUCUUGAGUAUAAUUAAUCAUUUAGCCCUAGAGGUUGCUGGAAACAACAGUGGACACAAAACUCAAGGAUUCAGGGUUUCUGAGAUGUAAAAUUUUGAUGUUCUCACAGCCCUUGCUGGCCCCGAGCUAGAUAAGCGAGUGUAAUUUAAGCUGAAUGUCAUAGAUAUUUAGUUGUAAACUUGGAGCUGGAAGUAUCUCGGAGUAUGGAAUUUAAAUCCAGCAGACUCUGAAAUUGGGGCUUUUUUCCCCGGCCAGAGUCGGGGCAGGAAAAUGAAGACCAUGGGUACCUUUUCCAGGGAAAGACAGGAGGAUCCUGGACCGGCCUCCAUGGUGGGGAGCGAGGCUGAGUUCUUGG